rnacentral:rRNA from 1 species
AGAGAGUGCAAGCGUUAAUCGGAAUAACUGGGCGUAAAGCGCACGUAGGUGGACAUUUAAGUCGGAUGUGAAAGCCCUAGGCUUAACCUAGGAACUGCAUCCGAUACUGGAUGUCUAGAGUAUAGUAGAGGGAAGUGGAAUUUCCGGUGUAGCGGUGAAAUGCGUAGAUAUCGGAAAGAACACCAGUGGCGAAGGCGGCUUCCUGGACUAAUACUGACACUGAGGUGCGAAAGCGUGGGGAGCAAACAGGAUUAGAGACCCUGGUAGUCCACGCCGUCAACGAUGAGAACUAGACGUUGGGGGGGGUAACCUCUUAGUGUCGAAGCUAACGCGUUAAGUUCUCCGCCUGGGGGAGUACGGCCGCAAGGUUA